CUUCCACUACGUCGGCCUCGACGAGCCCGAGAAGCCGGAGGUCCUCUCCUACUCCUACGCCUCCGCCACAGCCCUCCUCCCGCGGCGCGCGCUCGUCAUCGCUCGAGCCGAUGGCCAGUCCCACGAGCUCCUCGUCGACGUCACCGACGCCUCCGCGCCGUCCGUCCUCUCGCACGCCGUCCACCGCGGCGCGGGCUUCCCGAUGAUGACGACGGAGGACCAGGUCGCGGCAAUGGCGCUGCCGCCCACGUACCCUCCCUUCGUGGACUCCGUGCGGCGGCGCGGGCUCAACGUCAGCGACGUCGGCUGCGGGGUGAUCUCCAGGGGGUGGUUCGGCGCUAGCCAGCCGGCCUACGGCGGCGGCAGGGUGGCGAAGAUGCAGUGCUUCGUCACCGCCGGGUCGGCCAACUUCUACGCGCGGCCGCUGGAGGGCGUCACGCUGGUGGUGGACCUCGACCGGGUGGCCAUCGUCGGGUACCGGGACAGGGUGGUGGAGCCGGUGCCCAAGGCCGACGGCACCGACUACCGGGCGGAGAAGCUCGGGCCGCCGUUCACCGGGCC
rnacentral:lncRNA from 1 species